UAAUAGAUAAGAGAGCUUCCUUCAGUCCACUCAUGGGUAGCAGUGGGAUUUAAUUAGCUGCCGACUCAUUCAUCCAAAUACUGAGUUAGAAGGGAUCAGCGAAAGAUACCCAGUAAAUGAGUGAAUGAUGCGGGAGACAAAUUGAAUCCUCAACUUCCUGUGCUUGGACUGAAGGGAGCUCCCUCUUCUGUUAUU
rfam:Gossypium arboreum cultivar AKA8401 contig_67328_1, whole genome shotgun sequence.